rnacentral:rRNA from 1 species
GAUGAACGCUGGCGGCGUGCCUAAUACAUGCAAGUCGAGCGAACGGACGAGAAGCUUGCUUCUCUGAUGUUAGCGGCGGACGGGUGAGUAACACGUGGAUAACCUACCUAUAAGACUGGGAUAACUUCGGGAAACCGGAGCUAAUACCGGAUAAUAUUUUGAACCGCAUGGUUCAAAAGUGAAAGACGGUCCUGCUGUCACUUAUAGAUGGAUCCGCGCUGCAUUAGCUAGUUGGUAAGGUAACGGCUUACCAAGGCAACGAUGCAUAGCCGACCUGAGAGGGUGAUCGGCCACACUGGAACUGAGACACGGGCCAGACUCCUACGGGAGGCAGAAGUAGGGAAGCUUCCGCAAUGGGCGAAAGCCUGACGGAGCAACGCCGCGUGAGUGAUGAAGGUCUUCGGAUCGUAAAACUCUGUUAUUAGGGAAGAACAUAUGUGUAAGUAACUGUGCACAUCUGGACGGUACCUAAUCAGAAAGCCACGGCUAACUACGU